GCAAUUUGGGGGAAAAAUCUAAUGAAAAAGGAUUUUAUGAAACUUCAUAUAUUAUUACUAUUUUUUGUUAAACAUGAAAUUUGGAGUGACUUCAAACAAAUUAAAAAUAUGAAAUCUCCCAUAUAUACAACAUCAACGUAAAAAAACAAAAAAAAAGCCUCAUUCAUGCCUCGUUAUCGUCGGAUUCUAUCGUAUUGAUCUCUUCAUGGUAGUCUCCAUUAUUCAUCUUGACCAUUCGUUGUUCUCAUGUCUCUCUUAAUCUCCGGUUAAGCUCUGAUUCUCACUUUGAUCUCUUGUUCGAUCUUUCUACUAUUAUUAUUGCAUUUACUAUUUAAAAUUUUAUAUCCUAGUAGUUGGAUCUCUAAUCUCUUAUUAACAAAUUAUUGACGUAGAUGACAAAAAAAUAAAAAAAAUCAUUGACGUUAAUCUUACACAUUAUGUUCUGUGAGGUAGUAG